rnacentral:rRNA from 1 species
UACGUAGGGGGCAAGCGUCGUCCGGAUUUAUUGGGCGUAAAGAGCGUGUAGGCGGCCAGACAGGUCCGUUGUGAAAACUCGAGGCUCAACCUCGAGACGCCGAUGGAAACCGUCUGGCUAGAGUCCGGAAGAGGAGAGUGGAAUUCCUGGUGUAGCGGUGAAAUGCGCAGAUAUCAGGAAGAACACCCGUGGCUAAGGCGGCUCUCUAGUACGGUACUGACGCUGAGACGCGUAAGCGUGGGGAGCGAACAGG